CGAAAUCGAAAUGACUCUCGGUAACGGAUAUCUCGGCUCUCGUAUCAAUGAGGAAGGUAACAAAAUGUGAUACUUGGUGUGAAUUGUGGAAUCUCAUGAACCAUCGAGUUUUUGAACGCAAGUUGUGCCCGAGGCCAUUGUCACCAAUGCGGGAUGGCAGGCAUUGGGCUAGAAACUAGCCUCCCAUGUGCGUCCAUGCACGGCCAACCCAAAUGCGAUUCGACGUCGACGUGAGUCAUGGUAAUUGGUGAUUGAAGACCUCAACUCACGCGUUGUCACACAAAAUUGUGUCAUUCAGUCAGAGUGCCUCGGAGACCAAAAGUGCUCCUCACACCUCGACGGCGACCCCAGAUCAGGCGAGAUCACCCACUGAGUUUAAGUAUAUCAAUAAGCGAAGGAAAAGAAACUUACAAAGAUUCUCCUAGUAACGGCAAGCAAAUCGGGAAGAGCCCAACUUAAAAAUUGGACGAUCUUAUCAUUCGAAUUGUAGUCUGGAAAAGCUUCUUCAGUGGUGGACCAAGCUCAAGUCUCCUAGAAACGGGUGCUAGAGAGGGUGAGAGCCCCGUCGUGCUUGACCCUAUCUCACCACUAGGCGCUGUCGACGAGUUGGGUUGUUUGGGAAUGCAGCCCCAAUCGGGCAAUAAAUUCCAUCCAAGGCUAAAUACGGGCGAGAGACCAAUAGAUAACAAGUACUGCAAGGGAAAGAUAAAAAGAACUUUGAAAAAAGAGUCAAAGAUUGCUUGAAAUUAUCGGGAGAGAAGCGGAUGGGGGUCGGCGAUGCGUCCCGAUCGGAUGUGGAACGGUGACGAGCCGAUCCAUCGAUCGACUUAGGGCGUGGACCAGCACAAAUCAAGGUGACUGCCAAAGCCCAACAGUCAACACGCUUGCGAAAUGCUGUCGCCUUGAUUGUAGCGGACAGCGCAUGCCCUCGGCGUACCUCGACACAUGUGCACUCCCGAUACUGGCUUGCGAGCUCCCCAUUCGACCCGUCUUGAAGUACGAACCAAGGAGUCUGAUAUGUGUGCAAGUAAACUCGUGAGGUGCAAGGAAGUUGAUUGGCGUGAUCCUCCCAAGGUGUGCAAGAUCGAUCGACCUCGAUCUUCUGAGAAGAGUUUGAGUGCGAGCAUACCUGUCGAGACCCGAAAGAUGGUGAACUAUACCUGAGCAGGGCGAAGCCAAAGGAAACUCUAGUGGAGCCACGCAGUGAUAGUGACGUGCAAAUCGUUCGUCUAACUUGGGUAUAGGGCCGAAAGACUAAUCGAACCAUCUAGUAGCUGGUUCCCUCUGAAGUUAUUCUCAAACUUUAAAAAGGUAAGACGACGUGGCUGCUUCAUUGAGCCACGCCACGGAAUUGAGAGCUCCAAGUGGGCCAUUUUUGCUAAUAAGAACUGGUGAUGGAAGAUGAACCAAAAGCCGAGUUACGGUGCCCAACUGCGUGCUAACCUAGAUCCCACAAAGGGUAUUGGUCGAUUAAGACAGUAGGACGGUGGUCAUGGAAGUCAAAAUCUACUAAGGAGUGUGUAACAACUCAACUGUCGAAUCAACUAGCCCCGAAAAUGGAUGGCGUUGAAGCACGGCACCUAUACCCGGUCGUCGGGGUAAGCGCCAGGCCCCGAUGAGUAGGAGGGCGUGAUAGUCACCACAAAACCUUGGGCGUGAGCUCGAGCAGAGUGACCAUCGGUGCAGAUCUUGGUGGUAGUGGUAAAUAUUCAAAUGGGAACUUUGAAGGCCGACGAGGGGAAAGUUUUCAUGUGAACAGCACUUGGACAUGAGUUAAUCUAUCCUAAGGGUCGGGGAAAGCCUGACAGAUAGCACAUUUCGCGCGUGCACCGAAGGGGAAUCGGGUUAAAAUUUUGAAAUCUGGACGCGGCGGUUGACGACAACGUUAGGGAGUCCGGAGACAUUGUCGGCGGCCUCGAGAAGAGUUAUCUUUUCUGUUUAAUAGCCUGCCCACCCUGGAAAUGGCUUAGCUUGAGGCAGGGUCCAGUGGCUGGAAGAGCACCGUACGUCUCGUGGUGUUCGGUGCGCCCUCGGUGGCCCUUGAAAAUUUGGAGGACCGAGAACCGUUCACGCUCGGUCGUACUCGUAACUGCAUCAGGUCUCCAACCUGAACAAGCUCUGGUCAAUGGAAUAAUAUAGGCAAGGAAAUUUGGUAAAAUGGAUCCAUAACUUCGAGAAAAGGAUUGGCUCUAAGGGUUGGGCAUGGAGGUCCCAGUCCCGAACCCGUCGGCUAUCGGUGGACCACUUGAGCUCCUCCCAGGAUGAGAGGGGGUCGUCGUGUGCUAGCCGGGGGAUAGACUGGGAAUGGCUCCUUCAGGGGGCUUCCCCGGGCAUCGAACAGUCGACUCAGAACUGGUACGAACAAGGGAAAUCCGACUGUUUAAUUAAAACAAAGCAUUACGAUGGUCCCUGUGGAUGCUCACACAAUGUGAUUUCUGCCCAGUGCUCUAAAUGUCAAAGUGAAGAAAUUCAGCCAAGCGUGGGUAAACGGCGGGAGUAACUACGACUCUCUUAAGGUAGCCAAAUGCCUCGUCAUCUAAUUAGUGACGUGCAUGAAUGGAUUAACAAGAUUCCCACUAUCCCUGUCUACUAUCCAGGGAAACCAGGGCCAAGGGAACGGGCUUAGUAGAAUCAAUGGGGAAAGAAGACCCUAUUGAGCUUGACUCUAGUCCAACUUUGUGAAAUGACUUGAGAGGUGUAGGAUAAGUAGGACCCGAAAGGCGAAAGUGAAAUACCACUACUUUUAACGUUAUUUUACAUAUUCCGUGAAUCGGAGGUGGGACACUGUGGGUCGAUCUAGGCAGAAGACAUUGUUAGGUGGGGAGUUUGGCUGGGGCAGCACAUCUGUUAAAAGAUAAUGUAGGUGUCCUAAGAUGAGCUUAACGAGAACAGAAAUCUCAUGUGGAACAGAAGGGUAAAAGCUCGCUUGAUUCUGAUUUCCAGUAUGAAUAUGAAUCAUGAAAGCAUGGCCUUACAAUCCCUUUAGACCUUCAAAAUUUGAAGCCAGAGGUGUCUGAAAAGUUACCACAGGGAUAACUGGCUUGUGGCAGCCAAGCAUUCCUAGCGACAUUGCUUUUCGAUCCUUCGAUGUCAGCUCUUCCUAUCAUUGUGAAGUAGAAUUCACCAAGUGUUGGAUUGUUCACCCACCAAUGGGGAACGUGAGCUGGGUUUAGAUCGUCGUGAAACAGGUUAGUUUUACCCUACUGAUGACAGUGUCGUAAUAGUAAUUCAACGUAGUACAAGAGGAACCAUUGAUUCGCACAAUUGGUCAUCGCGCUUGGUUGAAAAGCCAGGGUGUGAAGCUACCGUGCACUGGAUUAUGACUGAAUGCCUCUAAGUCAGAAUUCGGGCUAGAAGCAUCGUGCACCCACCGUCUGCUUGCCGACCCAUAGUAGGGGCCUUACGGCCCCCAGGGGCACAUGUCGUU
rnacentral:rRNA from 1 species